CCUCCUUUCUAAGGAAACAUAAAAGCAGAUCUUCAGUUUUGAAGACUUAGUCAAGUUUUUCUGAUUUAUUUUGUUUUUUGAUAUCCUGGGCCUAUAGCUCAGUUGGUUAGAGCACACGCCUGAUAAGCGUGAGGUCGGUGGUUCGAGUCCAUUUAGGCCCACCAAACGUCUUAAGCGUGUUAUCAAAAAAAGUUCUUUGAAAAGUAGAUAAACAAGAAAACAGCGACUUUUAUUAAAGG
rnacentral:misc_RNA from 1 species